rnacentral:rRNA from 2 species
UACGUAGGGUGCAAGCGUUGUCCGGAAUUAUUGGGCGUAAAGAGCUCGUAGGCGGUUUGUCACGUCUGCUGUGAAAAUCCAAGGCUCAACCUUGGACUUGCAGUGGGUACGGGCAGGCUAGAGUGCGGUAGGGGAGAUGGGAAUUCCUGGUGUAGCGGUGGAAUGCGCAGAUAUCAGGAGGAACACCAAUGGCGAAGGCACAUCUCUGGGCCGUAACUGACGCUGAGGAGCGAAAGCGUGGGGAGCGAACAGG